GACGAACGCUGGCGGCGUGCUUAACACAUGCAAGUCGAACGGAAAGGCCCUGCUUUUGUGGGGUGCUCGAGUGGCGAACGGGUGAGUAACACGUGAGUAACCUGCCCUUGACUUUGGGAUAACUUCAGGAAACUGGGGCUAAUACCGGAUAGGAGCUCCUGCUGCAUGGUGGGGGUUGGAAAGUUUCGGCGGUUGGGGAUGGACUCGCGGCUUAUCAGCUUGUUGGUGGGGUAGUGGCUUACCAAGGCUUUGACGGGUAGCCGGCCUGAGAGGGUGACCGGCCACAUUGGGACUGGGGUACGGCCCAGACUCCUACGGGAGGCAGCAGUGGGGAAUAUUGCACAAUGGGCGGAAGCCUGAUGCAGCAACGCCGCGUGCGGGAUGACGGCUUUCGGGUUGUAAACCGCUUUCGCCUGUGACGAAGCGUGAGUGACGGUAAUGGGUAAAGAAGCACCGGCUAACUACGUG
rnacentral:rRNA from 1 species